GCGGAGGGCGCGGAGAACAUUUCCGCCAUUGUUUUGAAUAUUAGCAGCCUCCUACCGAGGUCAAACAAGAAUUCCACGCAACGUUUCGAAACACAAUUAUGAAGGGUCAAAUAGGACACAUUAAAUACGUGAAUGUUUCUUCAGAUGUUGGAGGUGUGUUGCUACUGUGAGAAGCCAACGUGUGUCUGUGACCAUCAGAAUAAACUGCUUCUACAAUCAAAAUCCACAUCUGAGAUCAUUUAAACAGUGGUGGAAGAGUGUAUUGCAACUGAGAAUCCGAUGUCUUUUGGCAAGCCCAACGCUACAGUUAAGAAACACUGGCCUGAAGAAGAACACAAACACGACAGACGGGGACUAAAUAAUACAAGGAAACAAAGUGAAUUACAGCGUAUCCGCAAUGUAUCAUGUGGAUCGGCGCAGGUGUCACAUGGCCUAAUCUGAUUAAGCCCCGCCUACUCCUUUUCCAUUCUACCGCCGCGUCAACAUGGCCGCCGCAAACAACGCUCUAGACCGGAGUGGUGUUGCCCUGCCGUAAAACGAAGCUCUAAAUGUGAAAAUGUUCACAUUUUGUCACCUGGAAAAAAGGCAAACUCAAAGCCACGCCUGAUUUACUUGUGUGACCCUUGACCUCCGCAAGAGUCUCGCUUUAAAUAUUGUU